rnacentral:rRNA from 1 species
UACGUAGGGUGCAAGCGUUAUCCGGAAUUAUUGGGCGUAAAGAGCUCGUAGGCGGUUUGUCGCGUCUGCCGUGAAAGUCCGGGGCUCAACUCCGGAUCUGCGGUGGGUACGGGCAGACUAGAGUGAUGUAGGGGGAGACUGGAAUUCCUGGUGUAGCGGUGAAAUGCGCAGAUAUCAGGAGGAACACCGAUGGCGAAGGCAGGUCUCUGGGCAUUAACUGACGCUGAGGAGCGAAAGCAUGGGGAGCGAACAGG